CAACUUCCUGUAGGUUUCUGCGGUACCGCUGCUCCUCCAGCUCCGGCAGGAAGAAGACAGAGAUGAUCCUCUCCGUGAUCUCGUUUGAAGAAGUGGCUGUCAGCACAGAUCCUGCUGUUCCACAUGAUGGAUGACCACAAUCGUCCCUACCGUGAGAUACAAGUAUGUGCUCCCCCUGAAUGAACAACAUCAGAUGACACCUCGAUGAGCAUCACGCAUACCCAGGGCAGGUCACUAUGUCAUAAAGAAUAGAUGAGGGAAACACGAAGAAGCCAGAUUGAGGGUUCAGAGCAGAAAUGGGCCAGGGAGUGGAGAUGUGGAUAGAGAUACGAGAGUGAGGAGAAGGCAUCGGGAAGAGAGGAAGGAUGAAUGAGGAGGAGGAGAGACAAACAGAAAUCAAGAGUGAGUCCUGGAUGGGAAGAGAGAUGUCAACAGCUGAACACGCUGACCACUGACACACAGCAGAGAGAUUUCACUGAGCUAUUUUGAUAGAGCUACUUAUUUUAGACUGUAUGUCGCUCAGAACACUUUCAUUUUGUCUAUUUCUCCAUCAGUGAUCUCACAAAUUCACUUGCAGGCGCAGCAGCAGCAGUGACAUUUUGAAGAAAUCUGCCAAUGGAUCUUCAAAAUCUUGCCACUUUGCAAUAAUUGAAG